ACNNCGAAGAGGUCACACCCGUUCCCAUGCCGAACACGGAAGUUAAGCUCUUCAGCGCCGAUGGUAGUCGGGGGUUUCCCCCUGUGAGAGUAGGACGCCGCCAAGC
rnacentral:rRNA from 1 species